rnacentral:rRNA from 1 species
GUCGAACGCUGGCGGCGUGCUUAACACAUGCAAGUCGAACGGAAAGGCCCUGCUUGCUCGUUACUCCAGUGGCGAACGGGUGAGUAAUACCUGGGAGAUCUCCCCGUCAUUUCGGGUUAAGUCUGGGAACGUGCGUCUAUACCGCGAACGGCGUGAGUUUUAAAGUGGUGGUUGUAAAGACUUCUCGGUGUCGGAUGAGCCUGGGGCCUAUCAGCUUGUUGGUGGGGUAAUGGCCUACCAAGGCGGCGAGGGGUAGCGGGUCUGAGAGGGUGGACCGCGACAUUGGGACCAAGAGACGGCACCGACUCCUAAGGGAGGAAGCAGUGGGGAAGAUUGCACAAUGGGCGCAAGCCUGAUGAAGCAAGGCCGCGGAUGGUAUGACGGCCUUCGGGGUGUAGACUGCUUGCGCGAUGAACGAAGCUUGUUGUGACGUUACCUAGAUAAGAAGCACCGGCUAACUACGUG